AGCGUAUAUUAAAGUUGUUGCAGUUAAAAAGCUCGUAGUUGAAUUUCGGGAUUGACGUGACGGUCGUGCCUUANGGGGUAUGAACUGUCNCNGNUGAUUUCUCACCUUCUGGAGAAGCUCGAUGUCCUUAAUUGGAUGUCUUGUGGAACCAGGACCUUUACCUUGAAAAAAUUAGAGUGUUUAAAGCAGGCAUUUUGCUCGAAUACAUUAGCAUGGAAUAAUAGAAUAGGACGGCNUGNUUCUAUUUUGUUGGUUUCUAGGAUCACCGUAAUGAUUAAUAGGGAUAGUUGGGGGCAUUAGUAUUCAAUUGUCAGAGGUGAAAUUCUUGGAUUUAUUAAAGACUAACUACUGCGAAAGCAUUUGCCANGGAUGUUUUCAUUAAUCAAGAACGAAAGUUAGGGGAUCGAAGACGAUCAGAUACCGUCGUAGUCUUAACCAUAAACUAUGCCGACUAGGAAUCANACGAUGUUAAUUUUUUAAUGACUCGUUU
rnacentral:rRNA from 1 species